rnacentral:tRNA from 3 species
UGGUCUAUGGUGUAAUUGGCAGCACGACUGGUUCUGGUCCAGUUAGUCUAGGUUCGAGUCCUAGUAGACCAGCGA